rnacentral:rRNA from 1 species
UGCAGGGUAUAGACCCGAAACCCGGUGAUCUAGCCAUGGGCAGGUUGAAGGUUGGGUAACACUAACUGGAGGACCGAACCGACUAAUGUUGAAAAAUUAGCGGAUGACUUGUGGCUGGGGGUGAAAGGCCAAUCAAACCGGGAGAUAGCUGGUUCUCCCCGAAAGCUAUUUAGGUAGCGCCUCGUGAAUUCAUCUUCGGGGGUAGAGCACUGUUUCGGCUAGGGGGUCAUCCCGACUUACCAACCCGAUGCAAACUACGAAUACCGAAGAAUGUUAUCACGGGAGACACACGGCGGGUGCUAACGUCCGUCGUGAAGAGGGAAACAACCCAGACCGCCAGCUAAGGUCCCAAAGUCAUGGUUAAGUGGGAAACGAUGUGGGAAGGCACAGACAGCCAGGAUGUUGGCUUAGAAGCAGCCAUCAUUUAAAGAAAGCGUAAUAGCUCACUGGUCGAGUCGGCCUGCGCGGAAGAUGUAACGGGGCUAAACCAUGCACCGAAGCUGCGGCAGCGACACUAUGUGUUGUUGGGUAGGGGAGCGUUCUGUAAGCCUGCGAAGGUGUGCUGUGAGGCAUGCUGGAGGUAUCAGAAGUGCGAAUGCUGACAUAAGUAACGAUAAAGCGGGUGAAAAGCCCGCUCGCCGGAAGACCAAGGGUUCCUGUCCAACGUUAAUCGGGGCAGGGUGAGUCGACCCCUAAGGCGAGGCCGAAAGGCGUAGUCGAUGGGAAACAGGUUAAUAUUCCUGUACUUGGUGUUACUGCGAAGGGGGGACGGAGAAGGCUAUGUUAGCCGGGCGACGGUUGUC